GACGAACGCUGGCGGCAGGCCUAACACAUGCAAGUCGAGCGGCGAGGCGGAAGGGGGAGUAAGGACUAGGUAUUAGCCCGGUAGUGGGGGAUAAAGUCAGGAAACGGGCGCUAAUAACGCAUAAUAUCAGAUGAGCCUCGGUCGGAUUAGAUGGUUGGUGGGGUAAAGGCCUACCCAGACGAAGAUCCGUAGCUGGUCUGAGAGGAUGAUCAGUCACACUGGAACUGAGACACGGUCCAGACGCCUACGGGAGGCAGCAGUGGGGAAGAUUGGACAAUGGGCGAAAGCCUGAUCGAGCCAUGCCGCGUGGGUGAAGAAGGUCUUCGGAUUGUAAAGCACUUUAAUUUGGGAGGCGUUACCAACAGAGGAAGCACCGGCUAACUCCGUGCCAGCAGCCGCGGUAAUUC
rnacentral:rRNA from 1 species